GGGGCGCCUGUGUCAUUUCCUAUCGAGAAGAAAGUAACCGUUUGAAUAAAAGCAGUUUUAAGUCAAAAUGUGCCUUUGAAAUCAAUAAUUUAUGAUCUCUUAAAAAUGUGGUUAUAUUUUAAUUUGUCCCCAGGUCAGGGGUUUCAUGAAUGACCUGAAUGGAUAAAUGCUGCUUUCUCGCCAACUAAUACAGCUCCUGGAUUUUGCUAUCCUUUGUCCUGUAGUAACCCUCAGCAACAAGUAUUUAACUUGGAUUUUACUCAUUAGAUACAGUACACUUAGGAAUUAGUAUACAAAUUCUAUUAUAGAUCCUGUAGGAAACAUUCUAGGUUUACAGAAUAAAGUAAACUUCAUGUAUACUCUGCUUUACUAGUAAACUAAGUAUACUUCAAGUACACUUAAAUAGAAUAUUUUUUGCUAAGGUAAAGAUUUAGUGAAAUUUCCAUAAGGAAGAUCCGAAUCACUUAUGUUACAGUCAUAAAUAAAAUUGUCACCAUGCAAUCAUGGCGAGGUAUCUGCUAAAUCUUCAAGAUUUCAUGCCGUUGCCUGUUUUGUUUUGUUUUUUUACUGUUGGCAGGAUCAUGAAUGUAGUGGACGGUGUCUAAAACUGUGACUUCCGCCUCCCGAUUACAAAUGCCGCCAGAAUUUAGAUUGCUGCGCCGUGUUGUUUUGUGAUUACAGACGCUUCAGCAGCCCUCCUCCACCUGGAGCGAUUCUUUGGCGUGGUCUGGCCUCCAACACCAUCAAUAACUAGACUGGGAUUCAUUCAUUUAUGGUCCUAGUUCAUCAUCAGCCCAGAGAAUAACCACUGAAGAUCAUGGAUUUAUAUCAAGCACAUUUGACUGUAUCACAAAAAAAUCUUUACUUGCAUUUGGAAUAUCUGUCCUUAUUGAAAUAUUCAGAGCUCUCAAGGAACAUGGAACGUGGUUCCGUACAGAGCAGCUGCUCUCUAUUUUUCAUCCUGUUUUGUUUCCUCUUUGCUGUUAUGGCAAAUAAAGUGAAACUUAAUUCA